rnacentral:ncRNA from 1 species
AUAAAGGAAACGGGGAGCUUUUUGCUGAGAGUAAGUAUUGACUUAGACCCAUAACCUGAUUUGGAUAAUGCCAACGUAGGAGAUAUAAACGUUAACAG